rnacentral:rRNA from 1 species
AGAUUAAGUUGUUAAGGGCGCACGGUGGAUGCCUUGGCACUAGGAGCCGAUGAAGGACGGGACUAACACCGAUAUGCUUCGGGGAGCUGUAAGCAAGCUUAGAUCCGAAGAUUUCCGAAUGGGGGAACCCCCUACCUUUAAUGGGGUAGGAUCCAAUUCUGAAUACAUAGGAAUUGGAAGGCAUACCCGGGGAACUGAAACAUCUCAGUACCCGGAGGAAGAGAAAGAAAAAUCGAUUCCCU